rnacentral:rRNA from 1 species
UUUUGCAUAUUCCAAAAAGCGGAGGAAAAGAAACCAACAGGGAUUGCCUCAGUAACGGCGAGUGAAGCGGCAACAGCUCAAAUUUGAAAUCUGGCCUCUUUGGGGUCCGAGUUGUAAUUUGUAGAGGAUGUUUCGGGUACCGCCUCGGUUUAAAUUUCUUGGAACAGAAUGUCAGAGAGGGUGAGAAUCCCGUCUUGGACCGGCGGUAGGGCCCAUGUGAAACUCCUUCGACGAGUCGAGUUGUUUGGGAAUGCAGCUCAAAAUGGGUGGUAAAUUUCAUCUAAAGCUAAAUAUUGGCCAGAGACCGAUAGCGCACAAGUAGAGUGAUCGAAAGAUGAAAAGAACUUUGAAAAGAGAGUUAAACAGUAUGUGAAAUUGUUGAAAGGGAAGCGCUUGCAACCAGACUUGAGCGCGGCGGUUCCCCCUUCCUUUUGGUUGGGUUACUCCGCCGUGUCCAGGCCAACAUCGGUUCUGGGGGUCGGUUAAAGGCCCGGGGAAUGUACCUACUCCUUCGGGGGUAGACUUAUAGCCCCGGGUGUCAUGCGACCACCCGGGACCGAGGAACGCGCUUCGGCUCGGAUGUUGGCGUAAUGGUUGUCAGCGACCCGUCUUGAAACCACGGACCAAA